rnacentral:rRNA from 1 species
GUCUAUGGCCAUGCCAUCCUGAACAAGCCCAAUCCCGUCUGAUCUCAGAAGCUAAGCAGGGUCGGGCCUGGUUAGUACUUGGAUGGGAGACCACCUAGGAAGACCAGGUGCUGUAGGCG